rnacentral:rRNA from 1 species
CACGUAGGGUGCGAGCGUUGUCCGGAAUUAUUGGGCGUAAAGAGCUUGUAGGCGGUUUGUCGCGUCUGCUGUGAAAUUUCGGGGCUCAACCCCGAACUUGCAGUGGGUACGGGCAGACUAGAGUCCGGAAGAGGAGAGCGGAAUUCCUGGUGUAGCGGUGGAAUGCGCAGAUAUCAGGAAGAACACCGGUGGCGAAGGCGGCCCCCUGGGCCCGAACCGUGACGCUGAGGCGCGAAGG